CCUACGGGUGGCAGCAGUGGGGAAUAUUGCACAAUGGGCGCAAGCCUGAUGCAGCGACGCCGCGUGGGGGAUGACGGCCUUCGGGUUGUAAACUCCUUUCGCCAGGGACGAAGCGUUUUGUGACGGUACCUGGAGAAGAAGCACCGGCUAACUACGUGCCAGCAGCCGCGGGAAUACGUAGGGUGCAAGCGUUGUCCGGAAUUACUGGGCGUAAAGAGCUCGUAGGUGGUUUGUCACGUCGUCUGUGAAAUUCCACAGCUUAACUGUGGGCGUGCAGGCGAUACGGGCUGACUUGAGUACUGUAGGGGUAACUGGAAUUCCUGGUGUAGCGGUGAAAUGCGCAGAUAUCAGGAGGAACACCGAUGGCGAAGGCAGGUUACUGGGCAGUUACUGACGCUGAGGAGCGAAAGCAUGGGUAGCAAACAGGAUUAGAUACCCGGGUAGUC
rnacentral:rRNA from 1 species